ensembl:lncRNA
CUCAACAUGGAAACUUGAGUACAGCAGCAAAAGGAUAGAUUAACAGAAUUGGGAGGAAAACAGGCCAGGCUUUGGCUAAAAUUUUACCGCUUGACCUCUCACUUUGUCCCUAACCUGAGAAGAAGCUUAAAGGACAGUUAAUCUCCUGAUGAAGACAGACAGAACAUCGUGGACUUGAAGAAUUAACAGCAGGCAAAAGACAGUGCAACUGAACCAUAACACUGACGACUCCAGCAGCAGCAUGAAAGAAAGCACGUGAUAAAAACAUGCACGGUGAACUGCAGGCUGGUAAGAACAGUGUGACAUGACUGUUUGAAGGCACUGAAUGUGAUAUUUUGCCAGGCUUGGACUUAACCUAAAAGGAAAAUACUGAAAAGAUCAACAGAGAAGAAACAGACUGUGUUGUUGGAGAUUUUAAGGCCAUACAGGUAACUGUGAAGAGAGGGACAGGGACCAGUCAGAGGUCAAGCCCGGACGAGUUUGAGUGCGAGAAUACAGGAUAUAAUUGGAUUGAAAUUGAAGCCUGAACUCAUGAUGGUUUAGAGAUGUCCACCACAUCACAACAAAGAGGUAAACAAAAAGAAGGUAAAAAUAAUGAAAGAAAAUAACUGACACUUACAUUAAUGAAUAGAAAACACACAUACACAAAUUGUUACAUGUGAAAUUAUUUUUGGAAAGAAUCAGAAGUGAGAUAGUUUGAAUCCAGAGCUCAGUGAAAAGAUGCAUGAAUUAAACCUGAUUAUAACAUACCCAUGCAAUGAAGAAAGCAGCUUACACUCCAUUAACAUGAACGCAAGGAAGAACACGCUUACACUUAUAUACAUGACAUAAGUUGGUAUUUCUGACCAGAGAGAGAGAAACGGGUCGUUUAAGCACUCAUGAUAAUAAUGAAAAUGUCUGAGUUGUGUUAUUUUCAGGGGCAAAGCAGACCUGGAUCAAUUUUCCACAUGCAGCGGUCGGAAGAAAGUUAUAGGGUAACAUUACUGGGCGAUGGGUCCCUGAACCUCACAAGCAAGCUCUGACUCCUGGCUGAAGACAAGGGAUGCUGUUAUUUAAGGUCCUGCACUCUCAAAGACUGAAUGAACCAGCAUUGCAGCCAUGGGUCACUGUGAGCAUCACAGGGAAGGUUGAAGCCGCCCACUGCACCUGUAUGGCCGGAGUCGCACCCAUGUCCCUGCUCUUCUGUUUAAUGUAGAAGCAACAGUGUUGAUCCGUGGCACAAGGACUGUUACAGAUGAACCUGCAUACUGGGUUUUGCUGGGUAAUAUGACCAAGAUACAGCCAGAGGUUGGCCAUAAGAUAGACUUCUCCUCUUCAGCUGCUCAAAAAAAGGCUCUUGAUCAAAACAUAAACAGACCAUCCAUAUUGAAAGGUAAAAGGAGCCAUCCUCAAAAAAGAAAAAUCCCACCUGCUAUAAUACCAUAAUGUUUUAUCUAGGGGUCUAGAUUUAUGCCAUGUAAAUAAUUUGCAUUUACUGAGUAUGUACUGACUGAGUAGCACUGUUCAAAAGUUGAAUAAAGA